CAUUGGCUAGGCCGCAACCGUGGCCCCGCCCCCAAGGAACAGGAGCCUGGGGCCCAAGGGAAUGGGCCAGCCUCGGGGGAGGAGCCUUAAAGAGCCCGCAGCCCUGGUGGUGCCCGCGCCCUGUGUGCGCAAAGCGAGACUUGGAGGCACAAGCUCUCAGGCAGAUACCCUACAAUGAUGAGCAAAAUCAGACAUGGACCUUGCCUUCAUGAUGUUUAAGGUUUACUGGGGAAAAGUGAGAGAAGGCUCCUGUGAUCCUCCAGGCGAGAGAUGAAAGUGGCUUAGGGGGUGUGGUUGGGGUGGCUGUGGUGGCAGAGAUGGAGAGAAGUGGAAGAAGUCACAAAGAGUCACUGGCUUUGAUAACAAGCAAAGCAAGGCCAAGGGAAUAUUCUUUCCAUGUGGGUGCAUUUAAAUUUUGUAAGUUAAUGUUUUAUUUUAUGAAAAUGGUAUAAAUUGUCAAGUAGUGUUCAAAGGUUUAUAACAACAACUCUCCCCAAUUUACAACCCCCUUUUAACUUUUUUUUUUUUGGCCGCACCUACAGUGGAAGCUCGUAGUCUUAACCACUGGACCGCCAGGGAAGUCCCCCAUAUUUAUAAAUUAAUUGAACAAUUUUAGACUUUUUUUUGGUGCUCUUGAGAGGAAGAUGUUAUAAACUUAAAAACCAACAUAAUAUGAAGCAGGUUGAGGAAAUGCUUAGUCAGUCUGAAGAGGUGUUUAAUUUUUAUUGUAUCACCCAACCCUUCUGAGAAUCUGUUGAAGCUUUUCCCAAAUAAA